AGGUCAAGCGAACAAGGGCGCAGGGCGAAUGCCUUGGCACUGGGAGCCGAUGAAAGACGUGAUAAGCUGCGAUAAGCUUCGGGGAGCUGCAAAUAAGCAUUGAUCCGGAGAUUUCUGAAUGAGGAAACUCACCUGGGUUCAUACUCAGGUACGUUAUACUGAACUUAAAAAUAGGUAUAUCGAGGGAACCGCCUGAACUGAAACAUCUAAGUAGGGCGAGGAAGAGACAUCAAACGAGAUUCCGUAAGUAGUGGCGAGCGAACGCGGAAGAGGGCAAACCGGAAGUAGAAAUACUUCCGGGGUACGGACUGCUUUUAGGACUUAAUCUGUUAACCGAACGGCAUGGGAAGGCCGGUCAGAGAGUGUGAGAACCACGUAGGUGAAAACGGAGAGAGCUGCGCAGGAUCCAGAGUACGGCCAGACACGUGAAACCUGGUCGGAAUACGGGGGGACCACCCUCCAACCCUAAAUACUACCCAGUGACCGAUAGCGUAUAGUACUGUGAAGGAAAGGUGAAAAGCA
rnacentral:rRNA from 1 species